AUCAUGGCUCAGGACGAACGCUGGCGGCGUGCCUAACACAUGCAAGUCGAACGGACGAGGCCCCUUCGGGGACCGAGUUAGUGGCGGACGGGUGAGUAACGCGUGAGCAACCUGCCUUUCAGAGGGGGACAACAGUUGGAAACGACUGCUAAUACCGCAUGAUGCAGCGAGAUCGCAUGGUCUUGCUGUCAAAGAUUUAUCGCUGAAAGAUGGGCUCGCGUCUGAUUAGCUAGUUGGAGGGGUAACGGCCCACCAAGGCGACGAUCAGUAGCCGGACUGAGAGGUUGAACGGCCACAUUGGGACUGAGAUACGGCCCAGACUCCUACGGGAGGCAGCAGUGGGGAAUAUUGGGCAAUGGGGGAAACCCUGACCCAGCAACGCCGCGUGAAGGAAGAAGGCUUUCGGGUUGUAAACUUCUUUUACCAGGGACGAAGAACGUGACGGUACCUGGAGAAAAAACCACGGCUAACUACGUGCCAGCAGCCGCGGUAAUACGUAGGUGGCAAGCGUUGUCCGGAUUUACUGGGUGUAAAGGGCGUGUAGGCGGAGCUGCAAGUCAGAUGUGAAGUCUGGGGGCUUAACCCUCAAACUGCAUUUGAAACUGUAGCCCUUGGGUAUCGGAGAGGCAGGCGGAAUUCCUAGUGUAGCGGUGAAAUGCGUAGAUAUUAGGAAGAACACCAGUGGCGAAGGCGGCCUGCUGGACGACAACUGACGCUGAGGCGCGAAAGCGUGGGGAGCAAACAGGAUUAGAUACCCUGGUAGUCCACGCUGUAAACGAUGAAUACUAGGUGUGGGGGGACUGACCCCCUCCGUGCCGGAGUUAACACAAUAAGUAUUCCACCUGGGGAGUACGACCGCAAGGUUGAAACUCAAAGGAAUUGACGGGGGCCCGCACAAGCAGUGGAUUAUGUGGUUUAAUUCGACGCAACGCGAAGAACCUUACCGGGAUUUGACAUCCUACUAACGAAGCAGAGAUGCAUUAGGUGCCCUUCGGGGAAAGUAGAGACAGGUGGUGCAUGGUUGUCGUCAGCUCGUGUCGUGAGAUGUUGGGUUAAGUCCCGCAACGAGCGCAACCCCUAUUGUUAGUUGCUACGCAAGAGCACUCUAGCGAGACUGCCGUUGACAAAACGGAGGAAGGCGGGGACGACGUCAAAUCAUCAUGCCCCUUAUGUCCCGGGCUACACACGUAAUACAAUGGCGGUCAACAAAGGGAAGCAAAGCCGCGAGGCAGAGCAAACCCCCAAAAGCCGUCUCAGUUCGGAUUGCAGGCUGCAACUCGCCUGCAUGAAGCUGGAAUUGCUAGUAAUCGUGGAUCAGAAUGCCACGGUGAAUACGUUCCCGGGCCUUGUACACACCGCCCGUCACACCAUGAGAGUCGGGAACACCCGAAGUCCGUAGUCUAACCCGCAAGGGAGGGCACGGCCGAAGGUGGGUCUGAUAAUUGGGGUGAAGUCGUAACAAGGUA
rnacentral:rRNA from 1 species